UGAGUGUCGAUGACCAGGAAGAGUACACAUGAAAAGAGAGUUUCAGCGAGCCAAUGGUAGUGGGAGUUUGGCACUGCUCAACAUGUCGAAUGGGCCUGGGAGAUGUGGUCCGAAACAAAUCGAUUGUUAUCGAAUAGUAGGCGCCGCCGGGAACUUCCGCCGUUACCAGGAAGCGGGUAUCGGACUUUUGUCCUGUACCUUGUAGAGCCGGGCCGUAUGGCCAAUUAGGGUGGCACCGCGGGUUAACCCCUCGUCCCUUGU
rnacentral:ncRNA from 1 species